CUCCAGCAUGACUUUUUUGGAUAAAUUUUUAUUGAAGAAUAACAUACCUACAGAAACACGACCAAAUAUAUUGAACAUCAGAUUGUCUUUAAACAUGAAAUUCAACUUUUUCAACAUGCAUUUGACAGAUGCUGUGGUCUGGUGGCUUAAAACCCACAAGAUGGACAUCAUGGUGGCUACCUGGAGAGGCUGUGGAGGCCAAAGAAUGGAUUUGGCCCAGAAAGGCUCUGGGCUCCAUCCAACCCUUAUAGCUACCUAAUUGUAUGACUUGGUCCAGUCACUUUGCUUCUCUAAGCCAGCUUCCUCACUGAUGAAGAUAGGAUAAUCACAUCUUCUUCACAAGACUGCAGUGAAG
rnacentral:lncRNA from 1 species